rnacentral:misc_RNA from 1 species
GAAAUGCGAUACGUAAUGCGAAUUGCAGAAUUCAGUGAAUCAUCAAAUUCUUGAACGCAAAUGGCGCUCCUGGGAUAGCCCUGGGAGCAUGCUUCUUUGAGUAUCGGUUCACCCGACAUCGACGGCGUGCUUGGCAAAGUACUGCGCAGUCGGAGAGUGAGCGAUCACGGCCUCGUGUGCCUUGGCAAAGGUGCGCCGUG